AGUGGUUAAGAUGCUGGUUAUAAUGCUUGUCUUCCACACAGGAGUACCUGGGUUCAAUUCCCAGCU
rnacentral:tRNA from 1 species